rnacentral:rRNA from 1 species
GACGAACGCUGGCGGCGUGCUUAACACAUGCAAGUCGAACGGAAAGGCCCUGCUUUUGUGGGGUGCUCGAGUGGCGAACGGGUGAGUAACACGUGAGUAACCUGCCCUGGACUUUGGGAUAACUUCAGGAAACUGGGGCUAAUACCGGAUAGGAGCUCCUGCUGCAUGGUGGGGGUUGGAAAGUUUCGGCGGUUGGGGAUGGACUCGCGGCUUAUCAGCUUGUUGGUGGGGUAGUGGCUUACCAAGGCUUUGACGGGUAGCCGGCCUGAGAGGGUGAACGGCCACAUUGGGACUGAGAUACGGCGCAGACUCCUACGGGAGGCAGCAGUGGGGAAUAUUGCACAAUGGGCGGAAGCCUGAUGCAGAAACGCCGCGUGCGGGAUGACGGCCUUCGGGUUGUAAACCGCUUUCGCCUGUGACGAAGCGUGAGUGACGGUAAUGGGUAAAGAAGCACCGGCUAACUACGUG